rnacentral:lncRNA from 1 species
UAAUUAUUAAUAAAAUUAGAAUUAAAGAUGAUACAGUUCAUUACAAUACGCCAAAUUAAAGUCAAAUUAAAUUACAAUUUUAAACAAGCCUAUGCUGCCUUACUCACUACUGCUGAUGCAUUGCCUUGUUGAUGCAUUAGCCUUGCUGAUUCACUAGCCUUAUAUCAAUGCUUUAUUCUUCUGUUUUCUUGUAUAUGUUGCUACUAUUCUUGUACCUGUUGUAACUAAUUAGAGAAAAACAUAAUUAUAUAAGUCAACGUGUUAUAACUAAUUGGAAAAAUGAUAAUUUUAUAACUAAAUGUUUGAUACAAAAAAUGACGAAAACAUGACCAAACAUGACUGAAGGGAGUAUCAGUAACAAGAAACAACGUCAAAGUAUAUUUUUUUUCUCCUAUACAAUAAAUCUGUUGUUCUCUAUCUUCACCAUACAAUUACUCUUUUGUUUAAAAAAAAAAUGUAGAUUUUUUAUUUGUAAGAGCAAAGAUUAAGAUAAUGUAAUGAACGAAACAUAAAAAAAUAAGACUAAAAAUUCGAACCCGUCCUUGACGUUGCCGCUCCUUUGUUCUUCUUCAUUUUCCCUUUUUUUUUUUCUUCCAGCUGAUGCGUUAUGUCAACCUCGUGGUAUCUUCUGCCCACUUUUCCUCCAUUGCUUUGAGAGCCGUGUGAACAGAGAAUGGGUAGAAGGGAGGAAGACUGGGAAAUUGGUUGAGGCUGGGAAAGUAACAACGAAGCUUUACUUAGAUAGGGUUUCUUUUUUUU